rnacentral:ribozyme from 1 species
UGCCCAGCAACUCCUAUCCCUACCUCUUCGUGUUAUCGGCCGGAAACUAUGAGCUGAGCAACCUUAGGGAAGAUCGGGUAACCAACCCCGGUGGGAACUUUGGUCGUAGGCUGACAGGGAAGG